rnacentral:rRNA from 1 species
AUGUCUUUUACUACAUUUCCCUUCCAACUAGUUCAUUGUGACCUUUGGACGUCACCACUUGCAAGUUUUUCUGGCUUCAAGUAUUAUCUGAUUGUAAUGGAUAAUUUCACACAUUUUUCAUGGAGUUUCCCCCUCCGAAAUAAAUCUGAUGCAGCCCCCACUCUUGAGCGUUUUUACACAUAUAUUCUCACGCAGUUUCAGCUUGUCAUCAAGUGUGUGCAAUGUGAUAACGGAGGUGAGUUCCUCAACAUCCGCCUUCGCACCUUCUUCUCUGAUCGCGACGUAUCAUUCUCUUGCCCGCAUACCUCCCCCCCAAACGGCAAGGCGGAACACGCUAUCCGCUCCACCAUCGACAUUCUCCGCACCCUCCUUCUUCAAGCCCAUAUGCCUCCCGCCUUUUGGGUCGAAGCACUCCACACUGCCACCUUCCUGCUCAACGUGCGUCCCUCACGAGCCAUCACCGGAAACACCCCAUACUUUCUCCUCUACGGUGUCGUUCCCAACUAUUCCUCUCUCCGCACCUUCGGAUGUCUCUGUUUCCCGGACACAUACGCCACCAUGCCUCACAAGCUGGCUCCCCGUGCGGUCCGCUGCGUCCUCCUUGGCAUGCCCCUUGAACACAAAGGGUAUUGCUGCCUUGACCUCGCGACGCGCCGUGUCAUCACCUCGCGCCACGUGGUGUUUGACGAGAACACAUUCCCGUUCGCCUCUUCCACGAUCGGCCACACCGGUGCACGAGAAAACCCUGCCCCAGCCACAGCAGAUCCGCCCUUGCCGCCCCCAAUCCACCUUGGAUCACCCGCCCAACCACCCGCUCCCACACGCCCUGCCUCGGGAUUCCCCGCGCCUGCCGCAUCGGCCACGCGAGACCCACCUGCUCCCGCACGCCCCGCCUCGGGAUUCCCCGUGCCUACCGCACCGGCCGCAGACCCGCGCAUCCCACGCUCCCCUCCCACACGCCCCGCCGCUAUUUUUUCAAAAUGCCUUUGUUGGCUGUCAUUAUUCGAGUGUGCCUUCUCUCAAAAUGGACACGAAAAAUACCACAGCAUGUCGGGUGCCAUUCCAUGA